rnacentral:sRNA from 2 species
CCAGUGGCUCAUUCACCUUCUUAUGUCAGCCCCUUCGGGACGCGCUACAUAAACUUCGAAUGACGCACAAACAGGUGCCUGCCGUCCAACUCCUGAUAACAGCUCUGCUUUAUCAGUCAUCGGGCGAAACGUCGAGUAAGGCACCGCCUCAUUUCUUAAUAAAGCCAGGCUCC